UUUCCUCCUUGAGAAUCUCGAAACACUAAACACGCGUGUCUGCGUGUAAUCUCGCGUAUCUGGAUGUAGAUUUGGCUUUAAUUAUUUGCUUCAGGCAGAAAGUUCUCUCUCAUCCUAAAUGUACAGCAGCCGUUCGACAAACAUCAUUUAGUAAAGAUGGAAGAUCCCACAAGAAUGGAGUUGU